rnacentral:rRNA from 1 species
UAGGAAAUCUUCGGCAAUGGACGGAAGUCUGACCGAGCAACGCCGCGUGAGUGAAGAAGGUUUUCGGAUCGUAAAGCUCUGUUGUAAGAGAAGAACGAGUGUGAGAGUGGAAAGUUCACACUGUGACGGUAUCUUACCAGAAAGGGACGGCUAACUACGUGCCAGCAGCCGCGGUAAUACGUAGGUCCCGAGCGUUGUCCGGAUUUAUUGGGCGUAAAGCGAGCGCAGGCGGUUAGAUAAGUCUGAAGUUAAAGGCUGUGGCUUAACCAUAGUAGGCUUUGGAAACUGUUUAACUUGAGUGCAAGAGGGGAGAGUGGAAUUCCAUGUGUAGCGGUGAAAUGCGUAGAUAUAUGGAGGAACACCGGUGGCGAAAGCGGCUCUCUGGCUUGUAACUGACGCUGAGGCUCGAAAGCGUGGGGAGCAAACAGGAUUAGAUACCCUGGUAGUCCACGCUGUAAACGAUGAGUGCUAGGUGUUAGACCCUUUCCGGGGUUUAGUGCCGUAGCUAACGCAUUAAGCACUCCGCCUGGGGAGUACGACCGCAAGGUUG